GCUGAACGCUGGCGGCGUGCCUAAUACAUGCAAGUCGAGCGAAGCGGGGACGGGUGAGUAACACGUGGAUAACCUCAUAUACGACCGGGAUAACUUCGGGAAACCGGAGCUAAACCGGAUACUUAUAGAUGGAACCGCGAUGCAUUAGCUAGUUGGUAAGGUCACGGCUUAAAAAGGCAACGAUGCAUAGCCAACCUGCGAGAGUGAGAGGCCACACGGGAACUGAGAGACGGUCCGGACUCCUACGGGAGGAAGGAGUAGGGAAUAUGCCGCAAAGGGCGAAAGCCUGACGGAGGAACGCCGAGUGAGUGAUGAAGGUCUUCGGAUAGUAAAACUCUGUGAUUAGGGAAGCGGUACCUAACAAGAUAGCCACGGAUAACUACGUGCCAGCAGCCGCGGUAAUAC
rnacentral:rRNA from 1 species